CGUGGGAUAGCUGGGUCAUCUGGUAAUUCCACUCUUACUAGUUUUUUGAGAAAUCUCCAUACUGCUUUCCAGAGUGGUUGCACCAAUUUGCAGUUCCACCAGCAAA
rnacentral:pre_miRNA from 1 species